rnacentral:ncRNA from 1 species
CAUAACGCGAUGACGGAUCGAGUAUGUUGCAGUCCAUCUUAACGCGCGGGCUCGCGCACAGAGAGGAAUUUCCGCGGCUGAAAGAAAUUCCAGAUGAAGGGCAACAGAAGGCUAAUCCGGAGCGCAGGCAAAACCUGACGCAAGGCUGCGUUACGGCCAAAGAGGUGAUGGGCGUUUUUUUGCCCAUAAACAGGGUGGUACCGCGAGCAUAACUCUCGUCCCUGCA